CAAGUGUCUAAUCAUUCUCUUGCAUAUUAAUGUAAGGUGUAAGCCUUAAUUAUUGAAUUACAAUUCAAAUUAAGAAAGUUUCUAAAGUGUGAGAAAAAAAAAAUGGUUAGGAAAUGUGUUAGAAACCUUGUGGUGGUGAUCGUGAAAGUGCUUAUCCUUAUUAUCCUACUUCCUUAUUCCUUUGAACUUGAUCAAGCAAAAAGAGACAUACAUGAGUGCCUUACAAAUGAAAUUGAAGGUUGUGAAAGUUCUAAAACAACAUGGCCACUUUCCGACAUAAAAUAUAGCUAUUGUAUUUUUCGUGGUUUUAAGAUGUGCUUGCUCGAAUUUCCACCCCACCCAAUUAUGCAUCCUAUCAUUAGAGAUUGCUUCCUAGUUUGUGCGAAAAAAUUUGAAAUUGAACCGCAGGACAUUGCCCGUUUUACUUCGUGUCUAUUGGAAUGUUAUGAAGAGCAUGUCAAGAAGCCCUCAGACAUCAUUUAUAUGCAGAAUCCUUGAGUUCCAACUUUUGAUCUGAUAGCGUUGAGGAUCAAGGGAAUUAUGGGGCACAAGGUUUUGGCUGAGGUAUAUGGUCAAGUUAGAAGUAAGGAAUAAGCCACUGGCAAUUAGUGUAUUAAAUGUUUGGUUAUGACAUUAUGUUAUAGUUAUGUUUUAGUUGAGAUCUAUAAUUGGAUGAAGUUGUAAACAUUAUGAUUGUGAUAUAUUUUGGAGUACUUAUAAUUUAUGAAGUAUUAUGCUCUGGUUAAGUUA